rnacentral:rRNA from 1 species
GGGAGCCUAUACAGGUGUUGCAUGGCUGUCGUCAGCUCGUGUCGUGAGAUGUCGGUUAAGUCCGCUAACGAGCGCAACCCUCGUCGUAUGUUAUAUGUGUCAUACGAGACUGCCGGUAAAAAGCCGGAGGAAGGUGAGGAUGAUGUCAAGUCAGCAUGACCUUUAUAUCCAGGGCUACACACACGCUACAAUGGUCUGUACAAUGGGUAGCCAAGCCGCGAGGCGGAGCCAAUCCUGAAAGCAGGCCUCAGUUCAGAUUGCAGUCUGCAACUCGACUGCAUGAAGCCGGAGUUGCUAGUAACCGCAGGUCAGCAAUACUGCGGUGAAUACGUUCCCGGGUCUU